UACAACAGCUAUAAUCUACUCGAUCUUGAGCAGUUACUCGGAUAACUGUGGUAAUUCUAGAGCUAAUACGUGAAGCAAAACUGUGUCCGCGAGGGCGCAGUGCAUUUAUUGGCGCAAAACCAAGCGGCUUCGGCCGUCCAUUGUUGACUCAUAAUAACUCAGCUGAGCGCAUGGGCUUGUCCCGGCGCCGUGUCGUUCGAGUGUCUGCCUUAUCAACUUUCGAUGGUAGUGUACGAGCCUACCAUGGUUGUGACGGGUAACGGAGGAUAAGGGUUCGACUCCGGAGAAGGGGCCUGAGAAAUGGCCACUACGUCCAAGGAUGGCAGCAGGCGCGCAAAUUACCCACUCUCGGUACGAGGAGGUAGUGACGAAAAAUAACGAGGUGGUUCUCUACGAGGCCCACCAUCGGAAUGGGUACAACUCAAACCCUUUAACGAGUAUCAAUGAGAGGGCAAGUCUGGUGCCAGCAGCCGCGGUAAUUCCAGCUCUCAAAAUGCAUAGAACCAUUGCUGCGGUUAAAAAGCUCGUAGUUGGAUCUGUGCCUGCACCAUGGUCCACCCUAACGGGCGGCACUGUGUGUGUAGGCUUUUUGGCCGGUCUUCGCGUCCGUCGGCCUUCAUUGGUCGGCGGCCGUGGCUGGCUGCUUUACUUUGAGCAAAUCAGAGUGCUCAGCACAGGCGUUUCGCCGGAAUGUUCGUGCAUGGAAUAAUAGAACAGGAUCACGGUCCUCUUUUAUUGGUUUUGUGGACUGAGAUAAUGGUUAACAGAGACGAACGGGGGCAUUCGUAUUGCUGCGUGAGAGGUGAAAUUCUUGGACCGCAGCAGGACGGACUACAGCGAAAGCAUUGCCAA
rnacentral:rRNA from 1 species